GAUGAACGCUGGCGGCGUGCUUAACACAUGCAAGUCGAACGAAGCACUUUACUACGAUUUCUUCGGAAUGACGGUUUUGUGACUGAGUGGCGGACGGGUGAGUAACGCGUGGAUAACCUGCCUCAUACAGGGGGAUAACAGCCGGAAACGGCUGCUAAUACCGCAUAAGCGCACGGUACCGCAUGGUACAGUGUGAAAAACUCCGGUGGUAUGGGAUGGAUCCGCGUCUGAUUAGCCAGUUGGUGGGGUAACGGCCCACCAAAGCGACGAUCAGUAGCCGACCUGAGAGGGUGACCGGCCACAUUGGGACUGAGACACGGCCCAAACUCCUACGGGAGGCAGCAGUGGGGAAUAUUGCACAAUGGGGGAAACCCUGAUGCAGCGACGCCGCGUGAGCGAAGAAGUAUUUCGGUAUGUAAAGCUCUAUCAGCAGGGAAGAAGAAUGACGGUACCUGACUAAGAAGCACCGGCUAAAUACGUG
rnacentral:rRNA from 1 species